GAUGAACGCUAGCGGGAGGCUUAACACAUGCAAGUCGAGGGGCAUCUCUGGUAGCAAUACUGGAGGCGACCGGCGUACGGGUGAGUAACGCGUAUGUAACCUACCCUUUACCGGGGGAUAGCUCCCGGAAACGGGAAUUAAUACCCCAUGAGGUUUCGGAGGCGCAUGCUUUCGGGAUCAAAGCUACGGCGGUAAAGGAUGGGCAUGCGUAGCAUUAGCUAGUUGGUAGGGUAACGGCCUACCAAGGCUACGAUGCUUAGGGGACCUGAGAGGGUGUACCCCCACACUGGUACUGAGACACGGUCCCGACUCCUACGGGGGGCAGCAGUGAGGAAUAUUGCACAAUGGGGGAAACCCUGAUGCAGCAACGCCGCGUGGAGGAUGACAGCCCUUGGGUUGUAAACUCCUUUUCUGUGGGACGAGAGAGGACGGUACCACAGGAAUAAGUCACGGCUAACUACGUG
rnacentral:rRNA from 1 species